rnacentral:rRNA from 1 species
GAGUUUGAUCGUGGCUCAGAUUGAACGCUGGCGGCAUGCCUUACACAUGCAAGUCGAACGGCAGCACGGGAGCUUGCUCCUGGUGGCGAGUGGCGAACGGGUGAGUAAUGCAUCGGAACGUAUCCUGGAGUGGGGGAUAACGUAGCGAAAGUUACGCUAAUACCGCAUAUUCUGUGAGCAGGAAAGCGGGGGACCUUCGGGCCUCGCGCUCUUGGAGCGGCCGAUGUCGGAUUAGCUAGUUGGUGAGGUAAAGGCUCACCAAGGCGACGAUCCGUAGCAGGUCUGAGAGGAUGAUCUGCCACACUGGAACCGAGACACGGUCCAGACUCCUACGGGAGGCAGCAGUGGGAUUUUGGACAAUGGGGGCAACCCUGAUCCAGCCAUGCCGCGUGAGUGAAGAAGGCCUCGG